AGUGAACGCUGGCGGUAGGCCUAACACAUGCAAGUCGAACGGCAGCACAGUAAGAGCUUGCUCUUACGGGUGGCGAGUGGCGGACGGGUGAGGAGUACAUCGGAAUCUACUUUUUCGUGGGGGAUAACGUAGGGAAACUUACGCUAAUACCGCAUACGACCUACGGGUGAAAGCAGGGGAUCUUCGGACCUUGCGCGAUUGAAUGAGCCGAUGUCGGAUUAGCUAGUUGGCGGGGUAAAGGCCCACCAAGGCGACGAUCCGUAGCUGGUCUGAGAGGAUGAUCAGCCACACUGGAACUGAGACACGGUCCAGACUCCUACGGGAGGCAGCAGUGGGGAAUAUUGGACAAUGGGCGCAAGCCUGAUCCAGCCAUACCGCGUGGGUGAAGAAGGCCUUCAGGUUGUAAAGCUCUUUUGUUGGGAAAGAAAAGCAGCAGGUUAAUACCCCGCUGUUCUGACGGUACCCAAAGAAUAAGCACCGGCUAACUUCGUG
rnacentral:rRNA from 1 species